rnacentral:lncRNA from 1 species
ACAAUACUUGAAGGAUUUAUAACAGAGUGCAAUCACACUUAUUACAUCGAAUGUCUCAAAAGAGAACUUAUUACAAUAAAUAUGGCUUAAGGCCAUCUAAAUAAGAUAACUGCGGAAGCAUCAAAGGUAAAUGAGUCCAUCAACUCCAACGGCAUAGCUGAGUGCACGACAACGACCUAGCGCACCUUACUCUUCGUCUAAAAAGUCUACAACAUGAUAUGUUCCAGCCCGAAACGGGUCAGCACAUGGAAUAUGCUGGCAAGAUAACGCAAUAGAGCAAUGAACAAGUAAAUGCUAUCACUACAUGCAUAUAUGGCUGGUGGAGGCUCUAUGGUUAUAAUGUUUUUGCGAAAAGCCACUUUUUUCCUACAAUAAAGGAAUAUAUUUUGUUUAACUAUCAUGGUAGUUGUUAAACAUUGAGAAGGUUCCUCCAACUCAAUCCCAAUUAAACAGUAUUAAUAACCCAACAAAUUAAAUUAGAGUGAUGAGAUCAACAUGAUAAUCCAAGAAGCAGAUACUCAAGAUGCCCAUAACCGGGGACACAGCUAACCAUGAUUAGUUUGUACACUCUGCAGAGGUUUGCGCACUUUUCCCCACAAGACUCGAUCUCCUCCGUUGGAUUUGUCGCACUACAGGGUGUUUGAGAAACGGAUGACCGAGGCACAGUCUUUCAGAAACAUUAACUCUUUACUCUGGGUAGACAGUACCAACCUACAUCCCCUACAUCUGCUAGCGUACCACUGAAAGAGGUCAUGCAACAUGCUCAACUAUGCCAGAGCCCAUAAUGGCUUGUGGCUGCACGUGGAAGUUUCUAGCAUGAAUAAUCUUAUGAUCCCUUUGAGCCUGGGUGGCGAACCGUAGGAUGAUCACACGGGUACUCCGGGAUAUCCUAGGACAACAUUGGAUUCUCCAGGUGCCCGCAACCAAUCCACCUAGAUGUGUAUUUAAGUAGCCACCUUAAGUUAACCAUUAAAUUAACAAUCUCACAUCUUUCAUGGAUACACUCAAACCCAAACCACGUCUACAAGCAUAGCAUAGCAGUAUAAGCAUAACGUACAAGUAACUCCCAUGGGUUGAUAUAAAAUGGCAAUAGGUUCUACCUCAUCAUCUACUUCCCAAUACCCACAAAUUAAUCACAUCCUAAUCAUGCAGUGUUUGAGGAUUCUAACUAAUGCAUAAAAACUGGGUAAUAAAGGGGUAUGAUCAAUGUGUUACUUGCCUUGCUGACGAUCCGCAAACCCUAGAGACUCGUAGUAGCACGUUUCGCACUCCGGAAAUUCUAUCGUAAACAAACAAUAGCAUACGUAAGCACUCAAGCAUAGAUACAAGGGUAAAACUCAAAUAAGAAGAUCAAAUCUGAAAAUUCAACUGAAGAGUUUUGAUUUGCAAAAAGAAUCAAUCCAAUCGGAGCUACGGAACUGAAACUACGAUCAAAAGAAAUUCGAAUUAAAAUCUGCUUGAAACAAAAUUUUAAAUUGUCAAAAUCAUGUUCAAGUUGUUUAACCGGAAAGAGGGGCUCGAGACGAAGAUUUUGGCAUUGGUUUCACUGGAUUUGGACAAAUGGUUAAAAAGUUACGAGGGUUUGAAGAUCAGGGGCUAAUCUGCGAUAAAAAAUCGCGGAUAGGUCCCUGGCUGAAAAAUAAACGGAAAAAGAAAAAUCUAUCGGACGGACGUCCGCUAACAGAGAUGAACGGGUGAAUUCGUUCGUUAAAACGAACGAACGUUCGCAAAGUAACCUAAACCAAAGAAAACCGAAUCGAUCUAAUAAUAAUAAUAAACUGAUCUAGGGUUUAAAAAAACCGACGGUUUAUACCUAAAACCAAAAAACGGUGGCGAAGAAGUCAACGGCGGCUGCGGGAUUCCGGCGAGCGGCGGCGUCGGCNNNNNNNNNNNNNNNNNNNNNNNNNNNNNNNNNNNNNNNNNNNNNNNNNNNNNNNNNNNNNNNNNNNNNNNNNNNNNNNNNNNNNNNNNNNNNNNNNNNNNNNNNNNNNNNNNNNNNNNNNNNNNNNNNNNNNNNNNNNNNNNNNNNNNNNNNNNNNNNNNNNNNNNNNNNNNNNNNNNNNNNNNNNNNNNNNNNNNNNNNNNNNNNNNNNNNNNNNNNNNNNNNNNNNNNNNNNNNNNNNNNNNNNNNNNNNNNNNNNNNNNNNNNNNNNNNNNNNNNNNNNNNNNNNNNNNNNNNNNNNNNNNNNNNNNNNNNNNNNNNNNNNNNNNNNNNNNNNNNNNNNNNNNNNNNNNNNNNNNNNNNNNNNNNNNNNNNNNNNNNNNNNNNNNGGGUGGCGGUGCGGGGCGGUGUGGGGAGAGACGGCGGCGGGGUGGGGUAUUUAAGGAGGGGGGUGCGGGUGGCUUGGGGAAAGGGUUGGCGGCGGCGGAGUCCGCAAGGGACACGGCGGCGGCGGCGGCUCGGCUGGGGACUCCGUCCCUGAGUCGGAGCGGGAGGCGGUGCAGGGCGGUGGGCCGGCCCGGCUCGGCUUGGCCGUUGGCCUAGUCGGGCGACACACAUGUUUUUUAAAUAAAUUUCCGCCGAAAAGGAAAAAAAUUAUAAAAAUGCCAAAAACAAUUUUCACCGUCUAUAUAUAAUAUUUUAGAACAUAGUGAACAUUUCCUUGGCCUAAAAUGCAAUUUUGAAAAAUGCAUAUUUUUCUAAUUCAAAUAAAAUAGCAAAUAAAAAUCCAAAUAAAAUAUUUAUUUGAUUUUAACAUUUUUCCUCCAAUAUUUCUUUUAUUUUGGGGAAGUCAUAUUAUCUCCUCUCUUUUAUUUCUUUUUUUGGAAAUAUUUUGGAGAGAAAAAUAAUUAAAACUAAAAUGAACCUCUUUUCAAUAUUUGAGAAAAAUUCAAAUAUUAAAAUAAAUGAAAUCCCCAACUCUCUCUGUGGGUUCUUGAGUUGCUUAGAAUUUCUAGGAUCAAAACCAAAAUGCAAUUAAAAAUAUGAUAUGCAUAUGAUGACUUAUGUAUAACAUUCCAAAUUGAAAAUUUGGGAUGUUACAAACCUACCCCCCUUAAGAUGAAUCUCGCCCUGGAGAUUCGGGUUGGCUAGAAAAUAGGUGUGGGUGGUCUUUCCGUAGGUCUUCUUCUCUCUCCCACGUGGCUUCAUCCUCGGUAUGGUGGCUCCACUGAGCUUUGCAAAACUUAAUAACCUUGCUGCGUGUGACUCGGCUGGCAAACUCGAGAAUCUUGACAGGUUUCUCCUCAUAGGUCAGAUCACUUUCCAGCUGAAUUGCUUCCAGGGGCACUGUGGUUAUGUGAACUUCCUCCAUUGUGGGUAUGGCCUCCAUGGUUAUGGGUAUAUCCUCCCGAGUUCGGGGUAAAACGAGGCUUCUGCUAAGCUCCUGAAUUGUACUUCCCUUGUCCAUACUUCCGUUUGCGGCUCUCGGUCUGCUGCUGCUUCCCUUCAAUCAUUAGAGCCUUGUCUACCAACUCCUGGUAGUUGUUAAAUGUUGCCACCAUUAACUGCAUACUCAUCUCAUCAUUCAGCCCUUCCAUAAACUUUUCCUGCUUAGCGGCAUCUGUGGCCAUAUCAUUUGGGGCAUAGCGGGCUAACUUACUAGACUCAUCCACGUACUGCCCCACAGUACGGUUUCCCUGGCGUAAGUUACGAAACUCACACUUCUUCAUGCUCAUAGCUCCAGUUGACACAUGAGCAGUGCGGAAAGCUUGUUGAAACUGUUCCCAAGUGACAUUGGCUUUAGGGAAAGUGGCUGUGUAAUUCUCCCACCAUGAGGCCGCGGGUCCAUCCAAUUGAUGUGCGGCAAAACACACCUUCUCAGCAUCUGUGCAACCUGCGGUGGUCAACUCCCUUCCAAUCCUGCAUAGCCAGUCAUCAGCAACUAUUGGCUCGGUGCUACUGGAAAACACCGGCGGCUGCAACCUUAGAAAACGGGCUAAGUUGUCAAUGGGAGGUGGUGGCCGUGGGUUGUUGUUGUUGUUGCCUUGGUUCUGGACUAGUAGCUGCAUCAAGGCAUUCUGCUGUUGGAUCAACUGGGUGAGCUCCGGUGGGAAGACAAAUCCGGGGUCACGUCUCGGAGGCAUCUGGUGGGUUUAGAGGGGAGAGAUUAGAAUAGAAUGAGGUCUAGUGGGAAAGCACUACCCAUAUGCACAUGAGACAAACACAUUCAUAUCACACCAAAUCAAUUCAAACAAGGGCAUACAAUCAAUCUAACUAUCGUUACAGUGCUCGGGCUAUUACUAUAUACAUGGGGGAAAUACUACUGCUAAUAUGGUGGUCUACUAGAAAUUUUGAUCGGUGGAAGACUCCAUGAUAUCCGCUCCAGCUUCGUCUUCAUAAUCAUCAUCACUACUGUCAGGGUCGGAGUCGGUGUCGUCGAUGAUGAUGUAGUCCUCCGAACGGAUGUCAUCAGGAUGGUCGUCAUCUCCUCCUAGCGCGGGGUCUCCCAUGAAUACUCCUAGCUUCCUCGUCAGGUCGUCAUGCUUCUCCACUAGUAUUGCGAUUUCCUCCUCGUAGCUGUCGCGUGUAGACUUGAGUUCCUCUUCAAGCUCCAUGUUCCUGGUCAUCACCUUCUUCAGUUCUAUCAUGCUUGCGCACAUUUGGUUCUCCUGGCGACGAAUGUGCUGGUUCAACUCCUGGAUGAAAGCUGCAAUGGACCCGUCCCUCCUGGUGCUGAUCAUCUCCCAUUGCUCAUCUCGGCGCCCACAUAUCUGGUAGAUGGUGUCCUUAAGAUCCUUGUGAUAAACUUCGCCGAUGCGUCCCAUGGCGAUGUGGGCUGCUAUGCUCUUACCUAGACUCCAGGUGGGUGCAUCAAAGGAAAACUCUAUGGGCUCAGUAACUGGCGUGAAUGUCCUUCCUGGAACUAGAACUCGAAUCAUCCACGCACCUCUUCUGGUAAAGUGGUCGUGUAGGUCCCGGUGAAGCUUGGUAUUCCAAUGUUCAGGUACCUAGUGACUUCCUUCAAGUGUCUCCCAAAAGAUGUGUCUUCAUCCAGUUGUCCAAACUUGUUCCUUGAGUCCGCCAUCCUAUGGUGUGGAAAAUGGAGAGGAGUCAGAAAUCAGUAGAGAAGAGUGACCUAUGGCUUAUCUUAGUGGUCGUGUCCUACAAUCAGUGUGUGCUCUGAUACCAUCUUGUAGCGAUCCGACCUCAGACGGUCAAAUUUCUGUGCAUAAGUGUCAUCCCUGGAUCGGUAAUGCUGACACACACAGUACUUGAAGGAUUUAUAACAGAGUGCAAUCACACACUUAUUACAUCAAAUGUCUCAAAAGAGAACUUAUUACAAUAAAUAUGGCUUAAGGCCAUCUAAAUAAGAUAACUGCGGAAGCGUCAAAGAUAAAUGAGUCCAUCAACUCCAACGGCAUAGCUGAGUGCACGACAACGACCUAGCGCACCUUACUCUUUGUCUGGAAAGUCUGCUACAUGAUAUGUUGCAGCCCGAAACGGGUCAGCACAUGGAAUAUGCUGGCAAGAUAACACAAUAGAGCAAUGAACAAGUAAAUGCUAUCACUACAUGCAUACAUGGCUGGUGGAGGCUCUAUGGUUAUAAUGUUUUUGCGAAAAGCCAAUUUUUUCCUACAACGAAGGAAUAUAUUUUGUUUAACUAUCAUGGUAGUUGUUAAACAUUGAGAAGGUUCCUCCAACUCAAUCCCAACUACACAAUAUUAAUAACCCAACAAAUUAAAUUAGAGUGAUGAGAUCAACAUGAUAAUCCAAGAGCCAGAUACUCAAGAUGUCCAUAACCGGGGACACGGCUAACCAUGAUUAGUUUGUACACUCUGCAGAGGCUUGCGCACUUUUCCCCACAAGACUCGAUCUCCUCCGUUGGAUUUCUCGCACAAUAGGGUGUUUGAGAAAUGGAUGACCGAGACAUAGUCUUUCAGAAACAUUAACUCUUUACUCUGGGUAGACAGUACCAACCUACAUCCCCUACAUCUGCUAGCCUACCACUGAAAGAGGUCAUGCAACAUACUCAACUAUGCCAGAGCCCAUAAUGGCUUGUGGCUGCACACGGAAGUUUCUAGCAUGAAUAAUCUUAUGAUCCCUUUGAGCCUGGGUGGCGAACCGUAGGAUGAUCACACGGGUACUCCGGGAUAUCCUAGGACAACACUGGAUUCUCCAGGUGCCCGCAACCAAUCCACCUAGAUGUGUAUUUAAGUAGCCACCUUAAGUUAACCAUUAAAUUAACAAUCUCACAUCUUUCAUGGAUACACUCAAACUCAAGCCACGUCUACAAGCAUAGCAUGAUAGUAUAAGCAUAACGUAGAAGUAACUCCCAGGGGUUGAUAUAAAAGGGCAAUAGGUUCUACCUCAUCAUCUACUUCCCAAUACCCACAAAUUAAUGACAUCCUAAUCAUGCAGUGUUUGAGGAUUGUAACUAAUGCAUAAAAACUGGGUAAUAAAGGGGUAUGAUCAAUGUGUUACUUGCCUUGCUGACGAUCCACAAACCCUAGAGACUCGUAGUAGCACGCUUCGCACUCCGGAAAUUCUAUCACAAACAAACAAUAGCAUACAUAAGCACUCAAGUAUAGAUGCAAGGGUAAAACUCAAAUAAGAUGAUCAAAUUUGAAAAUUCAACUGAAGAGUUUCGAUUUGCAAAAAGAAUCAAUCAAAUCGGAGCUACGGAACUGAAACUACGAUCAAAAGAAAUUCGAAUUCAAAUCUGCUUGAAAUCAAAUUUUAAAUUGUCAAAGUCAUAUUCAAGUUGUUAAACCAAAAGAGGGGCUCGAGACAAACAUUUUGGCAUUGGUUUCACUGGAUUUGGACAAACGGUUAAAAAGUUACGAGGGUUUGAAGAUCAGGGGCUAAUCUGCGAUAAAAAAAUCGCGGAUAGGUCCCUGGCUAAAAAAUAGACGGAAAAAGAAAAAUCUGUCUGACGAACGUCCGCUAACAAAGACGAAUGUGCGAAUUCGUUUGUUAAAACGAACGAACGUUCGCAAAGUAACUUAAACCGAAGAAAACGGACCGAUCUAAUAAUAAUAAAACCGAUCUAGGGUUUAAAAAAAUGACGGUUUAUACCUAAAACCAAAAAAAGGCAGCGACGAAGUCAACGACAGCGGCGGGACUCCGGCGGGCGGCGGCGCCGAGGCGAGGCGGCAGCGGCGCGGCGGCUGGGGCGGCACUGGGUGGCGGUGCGAGGCGGUGUGGGGAGAGACGGCGGCGGGGUGGGGUAUUUAAGGAGGGGGUGCGGACGGCUUGGGGAAGGGGCUGGCGGCGGCGGAGUCCCCAGGGCACACGGCGGCGGCGACAACUCGACUCGAGACUCCGUCCCUGAGUCGGAGCGGGAGGCGGUGCGGGGCGCUGGGCCGGCCCGUUGGCCCAGUCGGGCGACGCGCAUUUUUUUUAAAAAAAUUCCGCCGAAAAGGAAAAAAAUUCUAAAAAUGCCAAAAACAAUUUUCACCGUCUAAAUAAAAUAUUUAGAACGUAGUGAACAUUUCCUUGGCCUAAAAAUGCAAUUUUGAAAAAUGCAUAUUUUUCUAAUUCAAAUAAAAUAGCAAAUAAAAAUCCAAAUAAAAUAUUUAUUUGAUUUUAACAUUUUUCCUCCAAUAUUUCUUUUAUUUUGGAGAAGUCAUAUUAUCUCCUCUCUUUUAUUUUUUUAUAUUGGAAAUAUUUUGGACAGAAAAAUAAUUAAAACCAAAAUGAUCCUCUUUUCAAUAUUUGAGAAAAAUUCAAAUAUGAAAAUAAAUGAAAUCCCCAACUCUCUCCGUGGGUCCUUGAGUUGCUUAGAAUUUCUAGGAUCAAAACCAAAAUGCAAUUAAAAAAUAUGAUAUGCAUAUGAUGACCUAUGUAUGACAUUCCAAAUUGAAAAUUUGGGAUGUUACAUAAAAAUGAGAGAAAAAGAGAGAAGGGACAAUGUUACUAUCAUUUUCCACACUUGUGUGUCAAAUAGCGCCAUGUUCUUCAUGAUAGAGAGUCUCCUAUUUUGUCACUUUCAUAUAUUACUAGUGGGAAUUUUUCAUUAUAGAACUUGGCUUGUAUAUUCCAAUGAUGGGGUUCCUCAAAUUGCCCUAUGUCUUUGUGAGCAAGCAAGUUGGAUGCACACACCCACUUAGUUUUCUUUUGAGCCUUCAUACACUUAUAGCUCUAGUGCAUCCGUUGCAUGGUAAUCCCUACUCACUCACAUCGAUAUCAAUUGAUGGGCAUCUCCAUAGCCUAUUAAUUUGCCUAGUUGAUAUGAGACUUUCUCCUUUUUUGUCUUCUCCACACGACCUCCAGCAUUAUAUUCUUUCCACCUAUAGUGCUAUAUCCAUGGCUCACGCUCAUGUAUUGUGUAAGAGUUAAAAAGGCUUAAGAAUGUUUAAAGUAUGAACCAAUUGCUUAGCUUGUCAUCAGGGUUGUGCAUGAUAAAUACUUUGUGUGAUGAAGAUAGAGAAUGAUAAGAUUAUAUGGUUUUGUCAGGAUAACUUUCUUUAGCCAUGAUAUUUUGAGAAGACAUGAUUGCUUUAUUAGUAUGCUUGAAGUAUUGUUGUUUUUAUGUCAGUAUUAAACUUCUGUUUUGAAUCUUAUGGAUCUGAAUAUUCGUGCCAUAAUAAGAAAGAUUACAUGAUAAACAUGUUAGGUAGCAUUCCACAUGAAAAAUUCUGUUUUUAUCAUUUACCUACUCGAGGACGAGCAGGAAUUAAGCUUGGGAAUGCUUGAUACGUAUCCAACAUAUCUAUAAUUUUUUAUUGUUCCAUGCUAUUAUAUUAUCCAUCUUGGAUGUUUCAUAUGCAUUAUUAUGCUAUUUUAUAUCAUUUUUGGGGAUUAACCUAUUAACCUAGUGCCCAGUGCUAGUUGUUUUUUCCUUGUUUUUGACUUUUACAGAAAAUCGAUACCAAACGGAACGAAACUUUUUGAUGAUUUUUCUAGGACCAGAAAACACCUAGGAAGCUUCGGGAGGAGGCUAGAAGGUGGACGGUUGAGCGACAAGCUCGGGAGGCGCGCCCUAGGGGGGCACCACCAAGCUGUUGGGCCCACCGUGGCUCUCCUAACCCUAAUCUCAGCUCCAUAAAUACCCAAAUAUUCCCCGUAUACUAGAGGGCACACCAAAAAUACUUUUCCGCCUCCGCAAGCUUCUGUUCUCGUGAGAUCCCAUAUUGGGGCCUUUUCUAGCCCUCUGCCGAAGGGGGAUUCGAUCACAGAGGGCUUCCACAUCAACCUUGCUACCCUUCCGAUGAUGUGUGACUAGUUUACCACAGACCUACGGGUCCAUAGCUAGUAGCUAUAUGGCUUCUUCUCUCUCUUUGAUCUUCAUAUCUCAAAACAAAUUUAAGUGAAGAACAUGAGCAUAAAGAUGGCUCACAUAUUACUAUCAUCAUAUCUCAAAAGUAUUACAAAGAAUCAAGUUUUAUUUUUUCCAAUGAUCUUCAUGAAAGCUUUUAUAUUUCCCUCUUGAAUAUCUAUCACUUUGGGACAAAUUUCAUAAGUUGCAAUUGCUUUUGACAAGCUAAAACAAAUUUAAGUGAUGAACACGAGGAUAAAGAUUUCAAUCUCUCAAAAUAAUAUAAGUGAAGCAUGAGAGAAUUUCUUCAAAAAAAAAUACUAACUCUCAAAUAAAUCUAAGUGAAGCAUGAGAGUAUUUCUUCAAAAAUAUUAAAGCACACCGUUCUCAAAAAGAUAUAAGUGAAGCUCUAGAGCAAUUCCAUAGCUCAAAAAAUUUAAGUGAAGCAUAAAGAGCAAUUCUAACAAAUCAUAGCACAAUUUUGGCUCUCUCAAAUAGGUGUGUCCAGCAAGGAUAUUUGUGAGAAACUAAAAACGAAAACAAGUGAAGACUCAUAUAAUACAAGACGCUCGAAGGAAAACUCAUGAUAUGUGACGAAUAAAAAUAUAGCUCCAAGUAAAAUUACCGAUGCUUGUUUAGAAGAAAGAGGGUGUCGGUGUACAAAAGUAGGGGCCUUUUUUGUACCCCUUUACUUGUGCACGGGCAGUUGUAUGCACACCUGCGGCCACGCUUGGCGGGGCAGAGGAGGCAAAGAACAAGACUACCAGAGCAGCGCCCAAGCCAGAGGCACGAGAAGCAAAGGGACAAGAUGGCUUUUCCCCGGCAAGAGCCUUGCUGGGGCGGCCUGCGUAGCCCCGGCAAGAACUUUGCCGGGGCAACUCGCCCAACACUAGCAAGGCCACCACCCUUGAGCCUAAGAGUUCCGACACCAUCAACAACAUUGGAACCAAGGCUCGGGAGGCGCCUGCAUGGUGGCAUGCAGAUCUUUGUGAAGACCAGAGGCCUGCAAGACUAGAUGAGAACCAGAAGACGAAGGUCCCCGGCAAGAUCCUUGCCGGGGACGCCCACAAGACCCCGGCAAGACCCUUGUCGGGGACAUCUGCGGGGCCACAGCCAGGCCCAUACUUACCAAGACUCGGACGCCCCGCGGCCGUUCCAACACGGCGAUCAGUUGGCCAGCUAGGCGAGCGCCUGCGUGGCAGUGUGCAGCUUCUAGGCCAACUAGCCAAGCACCUGCGUGGUGGCAUGCAGAUCUUCGUGAAGAUCCUGCCACCGCACCAGCUCAGCAGCCAGCCAGCAUGGCGCUGCACGCCUCGUCAGCUUGGGCGCGCGUCGGAGCAAGGCGAGGCAGCGACGGACGAGACAAGCUUCCUUGUCGUCCCCGAUAAAGCAAGAGGGCACGUCGGCAGCGCAUUAAAUGUGUUUGUCCUAUGGUGUCAGGCGAUAGACUUGUACACUGUACAUACUUUCCACCUCCUGUGUGGCACUGUGGCAACCCCUUUGACUAUAAAAGGAGGCCCGAGCCGUACUGAGGAAGGAUUCGGACUUUUUGGACUUGGCAUGCACCGCAGCUAGUUCAAGAGCUCAAGAACACCAAAUAUACACCAAAGCAGGAUUCGGGUACUACGCAUCGCUUGCGGACCGAACUUGGAUAAAUCCCCCCCCCCCGCGUUGAUCUUCCAAACCCGCUCUUUCCACAGCCCCACGCCCUGUCAACCAUAGUAGGGAUUCCCUGUGAUCCCAUAGGUGUCGUUCUGCCGACAUCUUUGGCGCGCCUGGUAGGGGGCAUAAGCUGUGAAGAUCCGGUUUGGAAGUUAGCGCAUCGACUUCAUCAUCACCAUGGCCCCCAAGAAGAAGGGGAUCACAGCGAUCGGGUCGUCCGGAGCUGGCCCGUCCGCACCAGCACGGGCGGGUGACAGGGUGGCCACGGAUGGCGCCGGAGGCACGGCCCACGAGCAUCCACGACACUCUGGCAAUCAAAGCCAGGCGAGCGGCAUCGUUCGGGUCCAAGACGACGAGCCGAACGCCGCUGGGCCCGGAGACGGAGCUGUGCUGCUCACGGGCAGCGCGGCGACCUCCCUGACACCCCAGCCGGUGUUCGUGCUGUGACCUUCCCAGGCCACACGCGAUGAGCAACACCGCGACAUCGGUGCCCCCGGGCGCCGCCGCGGGAAGAGCCCUUUGCGUCACUCUCAGGACGCACCAGGCCGGCGUGUGCACCUAGACGCUGGCGGAAGCGGCGCGCGACCGCGGGACCGUGAUAGAGCUCCUUCUAACGUGGUUAGAAGUCGGAGCGCGUCACGGUCCACGCAGCUUUCACCGCCACCCACGCCAGCAGAAGCGUUGGCGCGCGUACAACUGCUCCUCGACUUUCCUUCCGCCGUGGAGAAGCUCGACGAGUGGAGAGCCACCAUUCGAAGCCUCAUCAGCUUCGCCAAUAAAGAUGAACCGCGACCAGCGGGACCCUCGUGCCGGCGCUCCGUCGAGCCGGCGCACGCCAGUGGUGGUAGGACCGUGGCAGCUACGACCACGGUACACUCUCCUCCCACACGCCAGUAGCAGCAGCCACUGGCUCGUCGGGCCGACGCCUAUGACAACGUUUCCACAGCGUCGUCCGACCCGCAAACCCGCUGCGACCAACGUCGAGUUCUUCGAGAGUGAGCUCAUGAAGAUGCUCGAACCACCAUCGAGCAACGGCAAGAAGCGCGCCAUUAGUCAGAUCGGCGUGCGGGGCCUACUAUGGACCACCCAACGCCGGGGGGCUCCGGCGACCUGCCUUACGAGGUGGGUUGCCUAGCCUUUACCCGAGAGUUGCGGCAGUUCUAGUGGCCCUCCCACCGCACAUUCAAGCCUGAUGUUGGGGAAAAGUAGAACGGCAAGACUCACUCGUCGGAGUUCCUCAGCAUCUACACCAUCGUGAUGCAAGCCACCGGGGCUCACGGCGACAAGGUGCUCGCCAACUACUUUCCGUUGGCACUUAAACCCAACGUCAUGUCAUGGUUGAUGCACCUGCCAGUGUAUUCCAUCUCUUCUUGGUCGGAUCUGUGCCACGAGUUUGUUGGCACCUUUACCGGAGGCCACCAAGCUCCUGGCCAGGCACGUGAUUUUCAUGUCAUCCCCCAGAAGGACGGCAAGUCCCUACGCAAGUACAUACAAAGGUUCAGCCGUGUGCAGUACAACAUCCCAGAUGUUCAUCCCGCCGCCGUCAUCAGUGCAUUCCAUCAGAAUGUGCACAACCGCAAGAUGCGUGAGGAGCUGGCGAUGAACAAGGUCAAGGAUGUAGCCGAGCUCUAUGUCCUGGCUGAUAGAUGUGCUCGGGCUGAGGAGGGGAGGAAGUACCCCGGCGAAGAUGCCGGCGCGAAAACCGACUCCACCGAUGAAGACACCAUCGCCCCGACAAAGAAGGGUCGACGCCGCAACAGGAAGCGUAAGGGAAAGACCGUGCUUGCCGUCGAGGGAUUCGGCGACCCCGACGCCGCCAAGAAGGCCAAGGCUGACGACCCCGGCAAGGAAGUUGCCGAGUGCGCCACCUGCUGGGCCUUGGCGGCUGCCGACAAGCCAGGAGGCUCCAACAAGCAGUAUUGCAAGAUCCAUCGCACCAAGGGCCAUGACAUCCAGAACUGCCGACAGGUUGAGCUGCUUGCAGAAAAGCAGAAAGCUGAAUAUGAAAGGCGGGACAAGGAGAAGGGUCAGGAUGGUGCUGAGGGGUCCGGCAAGAAGCGUGGCACCCAAGGAUGUCGGAUGUGGGGUUCCGGCAAACCCUUAAGGUUCGAACACUGGGGUGCGCACGAAGUCUUUACCUCCUUCUGAUCUACGCCCUAGCUCGCUAAGAUCUCUCGGACGAACUCAACGAACUUGCAACACAGAAAGACACGAGGUUUAUACUGGUUCGGGCCACCGUUGUGGUGUAAUACCCUACUCCAGUGUAGCGGUGGUGGAUUGCCUCUAGGGCUGAUGAUGAACAGUACAAGGGAAGAAUAGCCUCCUGAGGUUGAGGUGUUCUUGUAGCUAGGGUAGGCUCUCGAUCGGGUUGGAUCAAGCUAAGAUGAGAUGCCCCUACUUUGGUGGCUAGCUCUACUUAUAUAGGCCCUGGUCCUCUUCCCAAAUAUCGAGCGGGAAGGGAGCCAACAACGGCGGGCAAACUUAAAGGGGGACAGCUAGUACAAGCUAUCCUGACAAAAGCGGUCUUCGCCUGCAAAAAGCUCUGGUGGUGACGCCAUCUUGGGCUCCACGAUGACCUCCGUCUUGCCGUCCUCCUGGUCUUGGUCUUGUUGCACCAAGAUAGCAACCUUUGCCUGACGCCUCGGUACUCUUCGCCUGCGCUGGCCUCCUUAGCACCAAAGAGGAAAUAAGGACGCUGCGUGCGCUGGCGCCCGCCUGGUGUCGUUCGUCAUGGCUCACGUCACGAGGGCCUCGUGAGGUUUUGCACCGCCUUGAUAUCUCCGCUCCUUGUGAGCCUGCUUGGCUAGGCUACUCCAGAGGAGGUCUUGCGUCGUCCGCCUCGCGAGGCUUGGACCCUCGCGAGGGUCUUGGAUGCCUUGUUGAUGAAGAUGGGCCGUACGGCCUGCUGGCUUAGCCACGCUGUGGGCCGCAGGCAGGCAAGUCUGGGGACCCCCGUUCCCAGAACACCGACAGUAGCCCCCAGGCCCAAGGUGCGCUCGGGCUUGGCUUCACGGCGAAGCCAAGGGUCAAGUUCGGAGCACCGCGGGCCCCAAAAGCCUGCAGCCUCGGUUGACGCGUGGCGGUUGAUUGGACGUGGGCGUCUCCACUUCCCCACACUGCCUUGGCAACUGCACGACUUGACAAGUCCCUGCAACAUGCAAGGAAAACCAUCAUUACCUGGGAUCAUGGGAGACGCCCGGUUGGCCUUCUCUUGCUAUAAAUGGGGAGGGGGUGGAGCCCCCGUCGCCCAUCUCUUCCUCGCUUGCUUGCUUCUUCUUCGCUCCAUUGCUUGCAGUGCCACCGAUGGCGCCACGAAGGAAGUUCUCUGCCGCCGAGAAGGGGAAGGCCCCUUGCGAGGGCCCCGGUUCCCUGGCGCCCAAGCGCGGUCGCGGCCGUCCGCGCAAGCACGCCGCGACCCCGCCGUGGCCCACCGUCGAGGCGGCGCCGCGGCACGCGGAGGGGAUCGUCCCAACCGUGGCAGUCCAGCUAACGAGGGGUGGCGCGCAAUGAUGGCGCGGCCUCCCCGCCCGCGCUUCCAUUCAGCGAAGGUGUCGCCGGAGUUCGUCGUCUGGUCGGAGAACCCGGCCGGCAACUGGCUCCAGCUUUCGCGCUUCUUUGUCGAUGAACUGCCGGCCCCUGGUCCAGGCGGGCUCUAGUUGCAGGCGGAUGGUUGCUGCAGCAAGGCCUCUUGGGUCGCGGUUGAGACUUCCGCCACGGGCAACAUAGCCCUGGCCCGCGGCUGGCAGACGUUCGCCCGCGCGCGCGGCCUGGGCAGGCGGUGCACGGUCCACUUCAAGUAUGACAGUGGAUCGACUCUCUAUGUGAGGGUGUUUGGGGAAGAUGGUCACCGCGCCGGGUGCUGCCCUGAGACGAACGACGGUGAGGAGGUGCUCGGCCUUGGUGACGGUCGUGACAAGGAUGUGGGCGAGCCUGCCCUCGGCGGCGACCGCGUCUCUUCCAGCUAUGGUGGCUCUUCCUCUGGCGACAGCUCCAGCAGCGGAGGCUAUGACCAGCCACCGCGCCCGCUUUGAAGGAGGCAGUGGGUCAUCUCAUCGCCGUGCCUCCGUGAAGCGCGAGGAGGGGCUGGCUAGGCUCGGGGCGUCGCUAAGGGCCUGCCUCUGCGGAUUGCUGCAACGCCGCUUUGUUUAGCUCUUUUUCCCUGCAUCAGAAAAUGAAACCAGUAUGGGCCCAGAGGGGCAUGUAUCGAAAUGUGGUUCUUUGGUUAUUGCACUGUGCGUGUUAUUCCCAUGCCGUGUUGUUAUUUUGCGCAAAGAUAACUUAACCUGGUGCAUUUGGGAUGCCCUUUCCCUCACGAGGUGUCCGCGUUUGCUCAGAGACUGCAAAAAAUUCGUUAGGGGUGCGCUAGAGGAUUUGCCGUCCACCCAAGCCUCGACUUGGCGCUUUGUAUCGCGGUACCCGAGGGGCACGGAUUAGGAGAGAUGCGCCAGCUUUCAGGCUCGAACGAGGGUGGCUCGCGAGAAGGCAGAGAGAAGAAAAAUGCUCGUGAGGGCACCUGCCUAGCCCCCUCGCAAGGUAUGCGAGAGAGAGAACACGAGCAAACCAGAGCCAAAAAUGCGGUAAAAGGCUAGGGAAUCAAAUCAGCAAUGAACACCAAGAGCAACUUCGAUUAAGGAAAGGCAAGCCAACUACGGAAAGCAAAUGAAAAGCCGCGUCCGGCACCUAAUCUAGUCUUCAGGUCUUCUCACCAGCGCAGAGCUAAGUGCUUCCACUAGGCGUGGGCGGGAGCCCCAGGGCCUGAGGCCGGCGCUCCUGAGACUCCGGGGCGUGUACAGCCCCAACUCAUUAUUACGUGAGAGUGUCACGGGCGGCGAUUCUUCACAGGCACCGGGCCUUCUUCACAGGCUCUGGGCCUUUCUUCACAGGCUCUGGGCCUUGCUUCAUAGGCUCUAGGCCUUGCUUCAUGGGUAGAACUUCCGGAGGUGCUGGAUGUUCUAGGCGUUUUGGAUAGGUGCCCCUUCUUGCGUCUCCAGGCGCACGGCGCCAGGCCUGGAGAUGUGGACGACCCUGAACGGGCCCUCCCACAUGGGUGAAAGCUUGUGCAACCCUUCCCUGGAGAGGACCCGCCUCAGGACUAGGUCACCCGUCUCGACCGUCCUGGAGCGAAUGUUGCGGCAGUGGUAACGCCGCGGCGCUUGCUGGUACCUUGCCGCCCUUAAUGCAGCUUCGCGACGACGUUCCUCCCCCAGCACGAGAUCCAUCCCCCGCAUGGCGUCCUGCUGCGUUUCGUCGAACGCCAGGACCCACGCGGAGCAAUGCUUGACCUCGUGAGGGAGGACUGCUUCGGCUCUGUAGACGAGGAAGGAUGGAGUCUCGCCCGUUGGCUUGGUAGCGGUGGUGCGUAUGGACCACAGCACAGACUGGAGCUCAUCGUGCCAGCCCCUACCGCAGGCCUCCAGCUUCUUCUUGAAGGUCCUGGUCUUGAGGCCCCUCAGGACCUCUGCGUUGGCGCGCUCAGCCUGACCAUUGCUCCUAGGGUGGGCCACCGAAGCGUAGCAGAUCUGCGUUCCAAGGUUAACACAGUAGGUUUUGAAGAGGUUACUAGUAAACUGCGAGCCGUUAUCUGUGAUGAUGCGCUUGGGGACCCCGAAGCAACUCGAGAGGCCCUUGAUGAACUUGACGGUAGAGCCGGCCGGGAUAGUACGGACGGCUUCCACUUCCACCCACUUGGUGAACUCGUCGAUGGCGACGUAGAGAUAGCGAUAGCCCCCUGGCGCCCCAUGGGAACAGGCCUAAGAUGUCCAGCCCCCAGACUGUGAAUGGCCAUGUGAGAGGGAUGGUUUGGAGGCCCUGAGCAGGGUGAUGGAUUUGCUUGGCAUCGAAUUGGCAAGCUUCGCAGGACUUCACCAGCUCGGCUGCAUCGUUGAGCGCUGUAGGCCAAUAGAAUCCACUGCGGAACACCUUUCCGACGAGGGUCCGUGACGACGAGUGAUGCCCGCAGUCCCCGCCGUGUAUGUCAAUCAGCAGCUCCCUUCCUUGAUCGCUGGAGAUGCAGCGCAGCGUGACAUCGUUCGGCCGUUUCCUGUACAACUCGCCGUCUUGAAUGCAGUAUGACGUGGCUUGCCGGGCCACGCGCUCCGCGUCCUCUUCCUUCUCCGGUAGCUCCCCGCGUGUCAGGUACUCCUUGAAUUCCUUAGUCCAACAUUCCUCCUGGGGCUCAAGCGCCAAGAGCAGCCGAGCUCCUGAGGUCGGCCCACACGCCGGGGCUCCCGUGACCGGAGGUUGUGGGAGCUCCUCCCGAGGCUGAGUAGUGCUUGAAAGGGGUGGCAUAGCUGAUGGCUUGAAGAGCCGCUCCUCAAAGACACCAGGCUCUUGUGGUAGCCACUUGGAUGCUCUCCUGGCGAUGUCGUCGGCUUCUUCGUUGGUGCCCCGGGGCACGUGCUGCAGCUCGAGAACUGAGAACUGCUUUUCCAUCUUGCGUACUUCCGUGAGGUAGGCCUCCAUGUGCUCGUCCUUCGGCUCGUACACCUUGUUGGAAAAGUUGACGAGGAGUUGCGAGUCGCCUCUGACGGUAAGGCGCUUCACCCCCAGAGCUGCCGCAGCCUUCAGGCCAGCUAUGAGGCCUUCAUAUUCUGCGAUAUUGUUGGAGACCUUCUCGCCGUGCUGGAAGCAGAGUUGCAUGACAUAGUACAGCUUGUCCUGGGUGGGCGAGAUGAGCACCGCUCCAGCUCCCGCGCCCUGGUGUGCGAAAGCGCCAUCGAAAUACAUGACCCGACCGUCUAGAUCCUCGCUCCCUGGGGAGGUGGACCGGUCCUCCCCUUCCUCAAGUGUCGGGGCAUCCGUCCAUUCUGCCACAAAGUCAGCGAGCGCAGCCCCCUUGAUGACCCUGCUAGUGCUGAACUCUAACUGGAAUGCUUGCAGCUCAAUAUUCCACUCAGCGACCCUUCCAGCCGAAUUUGGGCUCCUGAGUACCCUCUCCAAUGGGUAAGCUGAGACGACCUUGAUCGGGUGCCCCUGGAAGUAGUGUCGCAGCUUGCGCGAGGCCACCAAGAGUGCGAGCAGGAGCUUCUAAGGCAUGGGGUAGCGUGCUCUUGCGUCUCUCAGCACGGUGCUGACGAAGUACACCGGGUGUUCGACGUGGGCUGGCGCACUAUCGAGGCUGGGGUUCUGCGGAGGUUGGUGCAUCUCCUGAGGUGGAGGGUUUCUCGAGACUUGGCUGUCCUCAGGAGCUUCUGUGAUGUUGUCCUGCCGAGCUUUGUCUUCCCUAGUGGAUGCCUUUGUUCCGUGCUCCUGACCCUGCGCCACUUCAGCUCCGGCUUGGCGCGGCGCGCCCUUGGCUUGGCGUUCCUCCCUGACCACCACCAGCGCCGCGCUGGCGGAGUACGGGGUGGCGGCAAGGUAGAGUACCAGAGGCUCGAGAGGCCGUGGUGCCACCAUCACCGGGGGGCUGGUAAGGUAUUUCUUGAGGUCUUGGAAGCCCUGAUCAGCCUCCGGGGUCCACUCGAACGGGCCUUUCUUCUUCAUGAGCUUGAAGAAGGGUAAGACGCGCUGUUCAGCUUGGAGAUGAAAUGCCCUAAUGCGGUCACCCGCCCCGCUAGCUUUUGCAUCUCUUUGAGGGUCUGAGGCGGGCUCAUGUCCUCGAUGGCCUUGAUCUUCUCUGGGUUUGCCUCGAUCCCUCUGUGGGACACGAGGAAUCCCAGCAGCUUGCCGGAGGGGACACCGAACACGCACUGCUCCGGGUUAAGCCUCAAGUUCACCCGGCGCAGGCUCUCGAAGGUUUCCUCCAAAUCUUGAAUCAAUGUCCUCGCCUCGCGAGACUUUACCACUAUGUCGUCGACAUAGGCCUCUGUGUUCCUCCCGAGCUGCCGCCCAAGGGCGAUGUUGUAACGCCCACGAUGCGGCUAUAUCUCCCACGUGUCGAGGCACGACUUAGAGGCAUAACCGCAUUGUGGUUUUGUCGCAAGAAGGGUCAUCUUCACACAAUCCCAUGUAAUGAACAAGAAUGGGAUAAAGAGUUGGCUUACAAUCGCCACUUCACACAAUACAUAAAUAAAUCAUACAUCAAUCAGAGUACACACAUUGACCGACUACGGUCAAAGUCAAAAGAAAGAAGAUAACCCAACUGCUAGAUCCCUGAUCGUCCCAACUGGGCUCCACUACUGAACAACAUGAUAAGAAACAACACAACGAACAAGAUCUUCAUCGAGCUCCCACUUGAGCUCGGUUGCGUCACCUGCACUGGUAUCCUCGGCACCUACAACUGUUUUGGUAGAAUCUGUGAGUCACGAGGACUCAGCAAUCUCAUACCCGCGAGAUCAAGACUAUUUAAGCUUAUAGGAAAGGAUGGGGUAAUGAGAUGGAGCUGCAGCAAGCACUAAGCAUAUAAGGUGGCUAACAUACGCAAAUGAGAGCGAGAAGAGAAGAAACGGAACGGUCGUCAACUAGUAAUGAUCAAGAAGUGAUCCUGAACUCCUACUUACGUCAGGCAUAACCCCGAAACCGUGUUCACUUCCCGGACUCCGCCGAAAAGAGACCAUCACGGCUACACACGUGGUUGAUGCGUUUUAAUUAGGGUCAAGUGUCAAGUUCUCUACAACCGGAUAUUAACAAAUUCCCAUCUGCCACAUAACCGCGGGCACGGCUUUCGAAAGAUAAUACCCUGCAGGGGUGUCCCAACUUAGCCCAUUAUAAGCUCUCACGGUCAACGAAGGAUAAAUCUUCUCCCAGGAAGACCCGAUCAGACUCAGAAUCCCGGUUUACAAAACAUUUCGACAAUGGUAAAACAAGACCAGCAAGACCACCCGCUGUGCCGACAAAUCCCGAUAGGAGUUGCACAUAUCUCGUUCUCAGGGCACACCGGAUGAGCAAGACGUCGGGUUGGCAUAGAUCCUGGUUGCCUAGGGGGCGCCGGACAUCGCUCGGUUUGGACCAGCACUCGAAGGAGAACUGGCCCGGGGGUUUAAAAUAAAGAUGACCCUUGAGUCUGCAGAACCCAAGGGAAAAAGGCUUAGGUAGGCAAAUGGUAAAACCAAGGUUGGGCCUUGCUGGAGGAGUUUUAUUCAAAGCGAACUCACAAGGGGGUCCCAUAAAUCACCCAACCGCGUAAGGAACGCAAAAUCAAGGAACAUAACACCGGUAUGACGGAAAACUAGGGAGGCAAGAGUGGAACAAAACACCAGGCAUAAGGCCGAGCCUUCCACCCUUUACCAAGUAUAUAGAUGCAUUAAUUAAAUAAGAGAUAUUGUGAUAUCCCAACAUAAUCAUGUUCCAACAUGGAGCAAUCUUCAACUUCACCUGCAACUAACAACGCUAUAAGAGGGGCUGAGCAAAAGCGGUAACAUAGCCAAACAACGGUUUGCUAGGAAAGGAUGGUUAGAGGCUUGACAUGGCAAUAUGGGAGGCAUGAUAUAGCAAGUGGUAGGUAGCGCAGCAUAGCAAUAGAGCGAACAACUAGCAAAGCAAAGAUAGAAGUGAUUUCGAGGGUAUGGUCAUCUUGCCUGAGAUCCCGCUAGGAAGAAGAACGAGUCCAUGAAGAAGACAAACGGAGGAAGUCGAACGAAUCCUCACAACUCCAGAACGAAACUGAAGCUAACGAGAGAAGCAACCCGGAAAGAAACAAACAACAUAGUAAACAACCACCACAUACACAUGGCAUGAUGCACAAACAAGUAUGAUGCAUGUCCGAUUUAAAGAGCAUGGCAUGGCAAAGUGCAACAAACAACACUACAAAUUAAGUGGAGCUCAAUAUGUAACGAGUUGCAUAUUGACGAAACACCACAUCAAUUAUUUAGUUCUCUCUCGGUUAUGUACCCAACAAUAUUAAAUGUUGAUUAACAUGGCAAGAGGUGAAGCAUAAGUAAACUACCUAUUUAAGCAAGUUAAAUGAGGCCGGAAAUAAUAAACAACAAUUCCAGAAAAUCCCCAUAUCCAUAUUUUAGAUUUGGUACUGUUCUGCCAUAAACGCAAUUUUAAUGUUGUUAAACAGCAAAAUAAAGUGCAGCAAGUUAAUCUAUGCAUUUUUCUACCCCAUUUACAUAUGAAGUUUAUUAAAAUCCGAGUUACGGUUAUUUAGUUAUGAAAUAAAUCAUUUUAACAUGGCAAUCGAGCAAAUUUAAACAAACAACAUUUUAAAUAUUUUAAACAAGGAUGAAAGUUGCAUACUGUUAAAGAACAUGAAAAUAUGAACAAAAUGCAUAUAUGACAUGUUUCAUUUGAAUGCAUGGACCUUUAGUUAUCAACAAUGCAAAACCAGUGGCAUUUCUGCAAAUAUGCAUGCACUUGGAAUUAGACAAAUCGGAGUGAACAUAAAAAAACGAUGCGGGCCGAAUGCUGCGCACUGUGGAAGCCCAGCAGCAGAUCUGGCCCGAAGCGGCUGAGUGUCUGUGAGCAAAAAAAAUAAAAGGAAGCAGUGCAGAAAAUAGGGGCUCCUGGGAUUCGAACCCCAGACCUCCUGGAUGCAGGAGCGUGGUGCGAACCACUGCGCUGCCGUGGCUGAAGUUGAUAGGAAAGGGCGCGGCCCCUUAAGAGAUUGCCCAGGGCCGAGCCUCUCUGUAUAGGCAGAGAAGACGAUGGCUGCGAGGACGGAGCCGGCGAGGUUAGCCGUGGUGAUGACGGGGCUUCUAGGUGCAGGGGCGUGUGCGUGUGCGGGGUGAGGCCAGCGGAGGGGCGCGCUAGGCGAGAACCGGAGCACGGAGAUGCUACUGCAUCUACGCGAGCAACAGAGAACUACAGGCGCCAACCAUGAACGGCGGCCUAGUGGUGAUGAUGCAUGAGGAUAUGCAUGUGAUGUUUGCCGUGUUCUGGAGUUGCACGCGCAGGUGAAAGGACGGGGCAGCCGUGUGCAACUGUGUGUGUGCGCGCUAGGCAGGCUAGGAAAAGGGCGCGGGCGCUCGACUUGGGGCACGACAAGCAGCGGCGAUGGCAACAGGGCACGGUGAGCCGGCGGCAAAGCUGCGGAAGAAGGCGCGAGGCCAGUGGGAUGUCUACGGAGCCAACUGGGCUUCGGGAUGCACGGGAUGCAGAGAGCGUGCUGCUGGAUCCUGAGAAAAAUUCAGAAAACACCGGAGCGGCGAGAGCGCGACGCGAAACCUAUCCUAGGCACGUCUACGGCGAUCGAUGUGCGGCAGGAGGAGAGAGAGGGGGAGCAGGUAUACCUAGCUCACCCUAGGACACGGAUGCAUCGACGUAGAUGAGCCAUCGGCGACGCGGACGAGCUCUAAACCCGACGCGGCUCCUGUCCGAGGAAGAAGAAAGCAGAGGAAGAUGCCAGGCGCGGGACUUGGCGACUCCUUAUGUGACGCAGAUGUAGCAGCGGGCGAAGAGGACAUCGACGGACUUGCCGGACACGAACGGCGAGGAAGAAGAUGAAGGAGUUCACGGCGGCGACAUGGCUGGUCCUUCGGUGCACUCGGGAUGCGUUGGGGGCGAUGGAUCAGAUGGAUUGGCGUGGCUUACCGGGUGGCGGCGGAGAUGGGGGAAAGAGGGGGAUCGGGGGAACCCUAGGGGGGUAGGGGCGAAUUUAUAGGAGGGUCAGGAGGCGUCCAGGAGUCAUGGUGAAACCACGGUGGCCAUGUGCGCUCUUCACUGAGAGUUACUGUGAGAGAGAGGGUGCGUGAGGUGGAAGAAAAAGGUGAGGGGGAGAGGAUGACAGGUGGGUCCAGCCCGGUGCAUGUGGGAAAAAAUAACCAGGGAAGAGAAGAGUUGGGCUGGAUCAGCUGGGAGGAACAUAGUUAAGUGGGCUCGCUCCUCUUAACUGAAAGCCCCUUCUUUUCCUUAUUUCCUCAACCAGAACUUUAGAGAAAAGAAGGAGGUGCUAGAGGUGGAAUAUUUCAGAAAAGAAAAUAUCUCUGAAGUCUUGAUAAUAUGCACAAUUUGAAUAAAUUGGUUUGGCAAUUUUUAGAGGAAGAAAAAUAAUUCAAGUUUGAAUUGAAUUCAAACUUGAGCCAUUUUUUAACCCAACCAAAACAAUCCCAAAAUGGAUGAAAUUUGGCAGAGUGGUUAAAGACAUGGUGAGAAUUUAUAGGAAAAGAGUGAACAUUAUAUGGAAUAGAAAUAAUGCCACCUGAAUAAAUCGGUGAGAAUUGAAAGGACGGAGCUAGAGAUGGGGUGAUGCACUGUGCAAAGAGACUCCGGUUUAGGCGAGAGGGACAACGAAGCACAAGGUUGGUCUCGGAACGGUCAACGAAAGCAAGGGGGACACGACAACUACGAGCGGACGCAAUUUUUAUGAAAACAUGUAAAUGCAAAGCGCAUGAUGCUAUGAGAUGAGAUGCAACAAACAAAUAAAUAACACAGCUGACUCGCAAAACAAGGAAGGCAACUAGAGCAUCGGUCUCGGGGCGUUACAACACUCCACCACUACAAGAGGAUCUCGUCCCGAGAUCUAGGAUGGCACCGGAGAGAAGCAGAAGAGGAAGAGGUAAAACAAAGUUGCUUCUUUGACAAACGAGUGAAACCAAAGAACCUUGAGAAGUCGCAAAGCUUGAAGAAAUGUCACGACGGAGCUGAACAAAAUUUAAAACACUCCGUUAUUAAAGAGGAACAAGGAACAUUGCGAGAACCUUAGUAGGUUGAAGGACAUGAAACAAGAGCUUAACGGAUCAAAAUUAAUAUGAAACACACCGGUAGAAAAGAGAAACAAGGAACACCAUGUGAACUUUGGAGUUAAGUGACGCGAUAGAUAUUUAAACCACUCCGGUUAAAAUAAGAUAGGGAAGGAAUAAGAAUGAUAAAAUUUGGGCAGCACUCCGACUGAAAAUGGAAGGAAUUGAACAUGAUCUCGACAAGAUGAGAGGAUACUCUAUGAAUUUAACAACAUAUUGCCUCCGGAACUAAAGAAAGAAUGGCACAAGGUGUAAGAAAGAUUUCAGACAGCACUCCGGUUGAGAAGGGAGGCAAAAACUUGACAGAAUGGAAAGAACUUGAAAAGAGGGCACGACACUCUAGUUGGAAUGGAAAAGCACGAAAAGAACACGGUCCUCACAAAUCGAGAAGAUGAGUGAAGAGAGCAACAUCACCAUGUCUCCGGAAGAAAUAAAUAAUAGAAGAUAGAUCCUUGGAAUAAAGAAUGGAGAAUAAAAUGCCAACUUCUGCCACAAAUUAUCUUGGAAAGCACCCUUCCAAGAAGGUAAGAACGGAGUAGUUGGAAAACCAACAACGAAAAGAAAAAACUUGUAGUGGGCUUAUGUAAACAUCUCAACAUUAUGAGGUGACAAACGGCCACUAAAGGAAGCCAUUGGUUUGAGUGAGAGCACCAAGGCGAUGAAAAACAUCUUUCACCCAGAGGAUAGGAGAAAACUUGGAUCAUUGAUAAGCACCAUAAUAGCAACAUUCCUUAGGGAAGGCUUUAGGUGAAACACGACACAAGAUAAAUCCAACGAAGAGAUUAUUAUGAGUUGAAACAACUCAUGGAUGAAGAAAAUAAGAUGGGUUUAAAUAUCUCAUUCUUGACAACUUGUGAAUCAUGAAACAUGAAGAAAAUAGUCAAGAGUGACAUAACACCACCUCAAAAGAUCAGGUAGGAAGAAUUGCACUACGGAAUGCAAGAAUGCUUGAGCUCCAACAAGAAUCUUGAAGAACACUUCGAGAAUGAAUUAAAUCCUUGAUGAACCACCCUGUAUAGCCUCCAUGAAGAACUCCGGUAAUAAAAGAAUGAUCAAACGAAAGGGAAAGUUGAAAAGAACUCUGGGAGAAGCCUUGCAAUGAUUAGAUGAAGCUUUGAAAUGAUAUAAUUGAAAUAACUUGGAGCUCCGGAAAGGAAAAUGAGCAAAUGAGAUCAAGAAUUUUUAUGAAUCUCCGGAAUAAGGAAUUAAAUCACUUGGAUGAAACAAGAAUAAGAAUUACAUUAUGCUUAGCCUUCACCAAUUAAAUUGAUGACAAGCAAUGGAUUUAGCAUACUACUUAUGCUCAUAGAAAGGAUUAAGAUAGAUAUUGCGCAAACUUGGGAAGGUCUUCAACGAACCACUGGUAACAACGGAAGAGAAUUCUUGAAUGAACCACCGUAAGAAUUGAAAAUGAAAGUAGCAAAGGCACAAUUCGCCGGGAAGAAUUAGAAAACGAAUAAAGAUACUUGACAGAAUUUAGAUACAUGAGAACGAAGAGAUCGUGAACUCAUUAGAGGAUAUUUGAACGAUGCACCGGAAGAAUAUGGAGAUGACCAAAGAGACAUCAAUUUAGAAUAAUUGAAGAACGAAGCUGAAAACUUAGAACGAAGAAAUCUUAUGGAAUGAUGGCCUUUGGAUGAUCAAGAAAUGAAACAACUCAUGAAAUGCUCCGGAUGGGUAAGAAAAGAAUUCUCACAAUCGAAAACAAUUAUGAGAGGAUGGCAUAAGCUAGAACUAUGAAUCUUCAAGAGAACGGACCAAGAUUUAGGAGAAAUUCUUCUUCGGUCUUCAAAUGUUGAGAAUGACGACGAGAAACACCACCAUGAAUUGUUGAGAUACUCCGGGAUGAAAAUUAGAAAGAUUGAACCAACAAUGAAAAGAGUUUGAAAGAUCUUGGAGAAAGACAUUUGACUGAUGAUAAUUCAUUCUUACAUCAAACUUUGCAAUGAAUUUAAGAAUAACUCCGGAAAAAUUAGAAGAGUCAGGUAAGAUCCUGGAAAAGACCUGUGGGUUAGGCCCACUCAAAGAUACACCGUUGAAUGAUUUAAAAAAAGAGAUUGCGCCAGUUGAAUUAAAUGGCUUGAAUGAGAUAACAACCUCGAAAUAGCUUGAACGGAUCUUGAAUGAAAACACGAAUCUCCUGAGAUAACUUCAACACUCCAGAUAAACAUGAAUAGCAAGAGGUGGAUGAUUAAGAGGUGCACCGGCAUGAGAAAACAUUUGAAACAAGGAAAGGAAUGUGAUUAACACUGAAAACUUGAAUUGAAUCCACUGAAAAAGAAUACGAGAAUGAAGAAUGAUAAUCUUGAAGAACAUCUUCAUGAGAACCACUGGGUAAGAACAUUGAUUAAAAAGAAUGAAGGGACUUCACAUGAAUAAAAUGGAUACUUGGUUAAGACAUAUGAUUCCUUGAAGAAAAGGGUGGGAGGGCGGGAAAAACAAAGGCACCUUGGGACGGAUGAAACAAACACCGUUGAGAAAACUUAGAGUUGAACUUGCGGAUGUUGAAAAGAUCAGAUCCACUUGAAGAGAAGCACGCCGGUUGGAAAAGAAUUAACAUGACGACCUCGAGAUCAAGAAGGAUUAGUAUCCAUAUAGAAAUAUGAGAACACCGUUUAGGAAAGGUAUGGAUUUAACAUUUGACUUCGAAGCAACUCGAAUACCACAACUUAAAACAAAACAAAGGAUUUGGCUUGCGGAAUAAGCCGAAACAAACAUAUGAUAGAGAUUCCGUCCGAAGUUUUCAUGGUGGGGCCCACACGGGCUCGACCGUACAGCACCAUCAUGUACAAGGUAGUGCACAUGACAUACGAAGCGUCCCCGAGUCGGCAUAGCCAAGGACUCUUUAAGACACUACGAGACCACUGUAAAACCAACCGUGGAAAGGCGGACCACUAGACGUCGAACCCCAAUCUCAUCAUGCGUCUGUCGGAAAAAUAUCCUAGGAGCUACUUGAAUUCCCACUUAUAAACUCCCGAAACUUUCUGGUUAUGCAAUCUGGUGUUGGGGAUACAGGGGACACAAAAUAUAUCACCCAAACUAACAAUACCUAGAUCCUGCUGUAUCCAUCCUUCAACACAUAACCAAGAAACCUUCGGAAAUCAUUUACCUCAACCUUCGAAAAGCAUCCGUUAUACGAGUUAUGGCAAUACUCCCGAACUCCCGCCCCAGUACUGGGUGGCGUCGAGGUGAUCUCACCAACAAUUGCAUAAAAGAGAUUUCGAUGUCGGCGAAACUCAGGUAUUCCAGAACUACAACGAUAAAAUUGUGACGACAACACCUCCGAGCUCAACUCCCCGGGACACUGCCACAACCCCUAAAUGUCAGGAGGCACCAAGAACAAUGUUCCCGUCACAAAACCAUCGGAACGAUUCCAAGAUACCCGCGUGAUCCUAAAAAAAUUAGUGAAAUUUGAGGAGAGAAGAGUCAAAACUUCUACGUCAGGAGACCUCACCAAGGCGAUGAAGGGACUGAGGAGUAAAAAGAAUCCUAACACUCUGAUAUAUAUAAUCCUAGACUCAAAACAUUUUCGUUCUACACUUAACAACGCCAGCGAUUCGAUCAAGCAGGGGCUCCUAAGUCGGGGAUGGCUCUGAUUACCAACUUGUAACGCCCACAAUGCGUCUAUAUGUCCCACGUGUCGAGGCACGACUUAGAGGCAUAACCGCAUUGUGGUUUUGUCGCAAGAAGGGUCAUCUUCACACAAUCCCAUGUAAUGAACAAGAAUGGGAUAAAGAGUUGGCUUACAAUCGCCACUUCACACAAUACAUAAAAAAUCAUACAUCAAUCAGAGUACACACAUAGACCGACCAUGGUCAAAGUCAAAAGAAACAAGAUAACCCAACUGCUAGAUCCCUGAUCGCCCCAACUGGGCUCCACUACUGAGCAACAUGAUAAGAAACAACACAAUGAACAAGAUCUUCAUCGAGCUCCCACUUGAGCUCGGUUGCGUCACCUGGACUGGUAUCCUCGGCACCUGCAACUGUUUUGGUAGAAUCUGUGAGUCACGAGGACUCAGCAAUCUCAUACCCGCGAGAUCAAGACUAUUUAAGCUUAUAGGAAAGGAUGGGGUAAUGAGGUGGAGCUGCAGCAAGCACUAAGCAUAUAAGGUGGCUAACAUACGCAAAUGAGAGCGAGAAGAGAAGCAACGGAACGGUCGUCAACUAGUAAUGAUCAAGAAGUGAUCCUGAACUCCUACUUACGUCAGGCAUAACCCCGAAACCGUGUUCACUUCCCGGACUCCGCCGAAAAGAGACCAUCACGGCUACACACGCGGUUGAUGCGUUUUAAUUAGGGUCAAGUGUCAAGUUCUCUACAACCGGAUAUUAACAAAUUCCCAUCUGCCACAUAACCGCGGGCACGGCUUUCGAAAGAUAAUACCCUGCAGGGGUGUCCCAACUUAGCCCAUUAUAAGCUCUCACGGUCAACGAAGGAUAAACCUUCUCCCAGGAAGACCCGAUCAGACAUGGAAUCCCGGUUUACAAAACAUUUCGACAAUGGUAAAACAAGACCAGCAAGACCACCCGCUGUGCCGACAAAUCCCGAUAGGAGCUGCACAUAUCUCAUUCUCAGGGCACACCGGAUGAGCAAGACGUCGGGUAGGCAUAGACCCUGGUUGCCCAGGGGGCGCCGGACAACGCUCAGUUUGGACCAGCACUCAAAGGAGAACUGGCCCGAGGGUUUAAAAUAAAGAUGACCCUUCAGUCUGCAGAACCCAAGGGAAAAAGGCUUAGGUAGGCAAAUGGUAAAACCAAGGUUGGGCCUUGCUGGAGGAGUUUUAUUCAAAGCAAACUGUCAAGGGGGUCCCAUAAAUCACCCAACCGCGUAAGGAACGCAAAAUCAAGGAACAUAACACCGGUAUGACGGAAAACUAGGGAGGCAAGAGUGGAACAAAACACCAGGCAUAAGGCCGAGCCUUCCACCCUUUACCAAGUAUAUAGAUGCAUUAAUUAAAUAAGAGAUAUUGUGAUAUCCCAACAUAAUCAUGUUCCAACAUGGAGCAAUCUUCAACUUCACCUGCAACUAACAACGCUAUAAGAGGGGCUGAGCAAAAGCGGUAACAUAGCCAAACAACGGUUUGCUAGGAAAGGAUGGUUAGAGGCUUGACAUGGCAAUAUGGGAGGCAUGAUAUGGCAGCAUAGCAAUAGAGCGAACAACUAGCAAAGAAAAGAUAGAAGUGAUUUCGAGGGUAUGGUCAUCUUGCCUGAGAUCCCGCUAGGAAGAAGAACGAGUCCAUGAAGAAGACAAACGGAGGAAGUCGAACGAAUCCUCACAACUCCGGAACGAAACCGAAGCUAACGAGAGAAGCAACCCGGAAAGAAACAAACAACAUAGUAAACAACCACCAUAUACACAUGGCAUGAUGCACAAACAAGUAUGAUGCAUGUCCGAUUUAAAGAGCAUGGCAUGGCAAAGUGCAACAAACAACACUACAAAUUAAGUGGAGCUCAAUAUGUAACGAGUUGCAUAUUGACGAAACACCACAUCAAUUAUUUAGUUCUCUCUCGCUUAUGUACCCAACAAUAUUAAAUGUUGAUUAACAUGGCAAGAGGUGAAGCAUAAUUAAACUACCUAUUUAAUCAAGUUAAAUUAGGCCGGAAAUAAUAAACAACAAUUCCGGAAAAUCCCCAUAUCCAUAUUUUGGAUUUGGUACUGUUCUGCCAUAAACGCAAUUUUAAUGUUGUUAAACAGCAAAAUAAAGUGCAGCAAGUUAAUCUAUGCAUUUUUCUACCCCAUUUACAUAUGAAGUUUAUUAAAAUCCGAGUUACGGUUAUUUAGUUAUGAAAUAAAUCAUUUUAACAUGGAAAUCGAGCAAAUUUAAACAAACAGCAUUUUAAAUAUUUUAAACAAGGAUGAAAGUUGCAUACUGUUAAAGAACAUGAAAAUAUGAACAAAAUGCAUAUAUGACAUGUUUCAUUUGAAUGCAUGGACCUUUAGUUAUCAACAAUGCAAAACCAGUGGCAUUUCUGCAAAUAUGCAUGCACUUGGAAUUAGACAAAUCGCAGUGAACAUAAAAAAAGGAUGCGGGCCGAAUGCUGCGCACUGUGGAAGCCCAGCAGCAGAUCUGGCCCGAAGCGGCUGAGUGUCUGUGAGCAAAAAAAAUAAAAGGAAGUAGUGCAGAAAAUAGGGGCUCCUGGGAUUCGAACCACAGACCUCCUAGAUGAAGGAGCGUGGUGCGAACCACUGCGCUACCGCGGCUGCAGUUGAUAGGAAAGGGCGCGGCCCCUUAAGAGAUUGCCUAGGGCGGAGCCUCUCUGUAUAGGCAGAGAAGACAACGGCUGCGAGGACGGAGACGGCGAGCUUAGCCGUGGUGAUGACGGGGCUUCUAGGUGCAGGGGCGUGUGCGUGUGCGGGGUGAGGCCAGCGGAGGGGCGCGCUAGGCGAGAACCGGAGCACGGAGACGCUACUGCAUCUACGCGAGCAACAGAGAACUACAGGCGCCAACCAUGAACGGCGGCCUAGUGGUGAUGAUGCGUGAGGAUAUGCAUGUGAUGUUUGCCGUGUUCUGGAGUUGCACGCGCAGGUGAAAGGACGGGGCAGCCGUGUGCAACUGUGUGUGUGCGCGCUAGGCAGGCUAGGAAAAGGGCGCGGGUGCUCGACUUGGGGCACGACAAGCAGCGGCAACGGCAACAGGGCACGGUGAGCCGGCGGCAAAGCUGCAGAAGAAGGCGCGAGGCCAGUGGGAUGUCUACGGAGCCAACUGGGCCUCGAGAUGCACGGGAUGCAGAGAGCGUGCUGCUGGAUCCUGAGAAAAAUUCAGAAAACACUGGAGCAGCGAGAGCACGACGCGAAACCAAUCCUAGGCACGUCUACGGCGAUCGAUAUGCGGCAGGAGAAGAGAGAGGGGGAGCAGGUAUACCUAGCUCACCCUAGGACACGGAUGCAUCGACGUAGAUGAGCCAUCGGCGACGCGGACGAGCUCUAAACCCAACGGAGUUCCUGUCCGAGGAAGAAGAAAGCAGAGGAAGACGCCAGGCGCGGGACUUGGCGACUCCUUAUGUGACGCAGAUGUAGUAGCGGGCGAAGAGGACGUCGACGGACUUGCCGGACACGAACGGCGAGGAAGAAGAUGAAGGAGUUCACGGCGGCG